UCAUCGGAAAUUUAAUGCAGUUGUACUGCACUCACGAUAAAUCAUUAUGUCGUGCAUCCAACCACAGUCCUUCAUUACAAUAUAUAUAUAUAUAUAUAUACACCCACUCUUUUUUAUCCGACUCGGAAUCCGUAAUAUCCCUGUUUUCCACCAUCUGCAACUGUUUGCAAUAUUCUUUUUCUGGACAGUUGCAGUCAGACGAUACCCGAAUAGUCAGUGAAAGCUGCUCGAGUGUCCGGACCCUGCUCUCACAUGUCACCUGUUAAGAAAACAAUACGUUUGGUUACUGUUCUGUUUGCAUCAUUGUUCAAGAAACAUGUACGCAAUAAAUGGUGCCAAUGUUCUAA